UUUGCACGUGGAGAAGAUGAAAGAAAACACAAAACAAAAAGCUAAAGAGGAGAGAAAGAGAUUAGAAUCAAAGGUGCAAUCAAGUGAGUGCAGUUCCUGUGUGGCUGUCUUUCUUAAUGCAAUAUUAGUCAUUCCCAACUUUCAUUUUCAUAGCAUUUGGAGAGAUGCCAGGUUUUUCAAAGCGUAUUCUUUUGUGAAUAAAUUACAAAAAUAC